UACGAAGGUGGCAAGCGUUAUCCGGAUUUAUUGGGCGUAAAGGGAACGCAGGCGGUCUUUUAAGUCUGAUGUGAAAGCCUUCGGCUUAACCGGAGUAGUGCAUUGGAAACUGGGAGACUUGAGUGCAGAAGAGGAGAGUGGAACUCCAUGUGUAGCGGUGAAAUGCGUAGAUAUAUGGAAGAACACCAGUGGCGAAAGCGGCUCUCUGGUCUGUAACUGACGCUGAGGUUCGAAAGCGUGGGUAGCAAACAGG
rnacentral:rRNA from 1 species